rnacentral:tRNA from 3 species
GCUAGUGUAGCUUAAUGCAAAGCAUGGCACUGAAGAUGCUAAGAUAGAAGCUCAAAAUUUUUCACAAGCA